GCCUGGCUCCAGAGUGACCCGCGGCCGGGCGAGGGAAAUCCGAGUCCAUAUGUCUUUUUCGUCAUAAGGGGCUUUUUGAGCCAUGCUUUGUCUGGCCCCUCACCUAGGAUCCUUUUGGCAUGGGUGACCCUACCAGGGGCAUGAAGCCCCAGACAACAUGGCUCCUAGGAUCAUUGGGACAUGCAAAUCCCUCCACCACGGUAAGGUGACCACUCACGGAGAUCAAAUUCCUUUAAAUAUUAAUUUA